UAGCUAUUUCAAUUCGUUGCAGCUAUGCUUCCAGAAAGGUAUAAAAUGGAAGGCCCAAGCCCGAUCGUUAUCAUCGUUUUAAACGAAAACUAGAAUCAACAUGAAAUUGAUACUUCUCGCUGCUGUGCUUGGUGUCUUGGCAUCAGGCAGCUUUGUUGUCGCUCAGAACACUGAUGGAGACUACGUAGUCUUAGACCGAAGACCAAUCGGCUAAAACUGAUUUUUUUUUUUAAAUAUAAAGUGUAUUUAAAUUCAAAAUAAGUUUUCGGGAUAUUAAAGCAAAGUAGUAGGAUUUGGUUUUUACCUAUCCAGUUCGAACCCAUAAAA
rnacentral:sRNA from 1 species